CCUACGGGGGGCUGCAGUGGGGAAUAUUGGACAAUGGGGGCAACCCUGAUCCAGCCAUGCCGCGUGUGUGAAGAAGGCCCUCGGGUUGUAAAGCACUUUCAGUGAGGAAGAACGCCUGGUGGUUAAUACCCAUCAGGAAAGACAUCACUCACAGAAGAAGCACCGGCUAACUCCGUGCCAGCAGCCGCGGUAAUACGGAGGGUGCGAGCGUUAAUCGGAAUUACUGGGCGUAAAGCGCGCGUAGGUGGCUUGAUAAGCCGGUUGUGAAAGCCCCGGGCUCAACCUGGGAACGGCAUCCGGAACUGUCAAGCUAGAGUGCAGGAGAGGGAGGUAGAAUUCCCGGUGUAGCGGUGAAAUGCGUAGAGAUCGGGAGGAAUACCAGUGGCGAAGGCGGCCUUCUGGACUGACACUGACACUGAGGUGCGAAAGCGUGGGUAGCAAACAGGAUUAGAUACCCGGGUAGUC
rnacentral:rRNA from 1 species